AUUUAAGUCAAUUACUUAGAAAAUCCUGUUUUACUAGAGUCUGGACUCUGAAACAAUCAGAGUUCUUGUAGUAAAGGAUUAUUUUUCAUGUUUAGUAAUGGGCAGGGGUCAACCAGAUGGGGACUCUGGUUUUUUCAUGUCCAGCUUGAAAUGGUCCCCAAGCCUCUGUUUGCCUUUAUAGCUUGCUUGGAAAACUUACUUGCAUGAACAGCCUUGUAAGCAUUUUGGUUUACAGAUGAUUUGCUACAUAUUCCAGAGGAUGGUACUUUUCUGUUGUACAGCAAAAAC
rnacentral:lncRNA from 1 species